AACAGAGUAAAGAAAAGAAACAAAAAGAAUAGAGAAAAGAGAACAGAAAGCAUUCGAGCAGGGGAAGGAAAGAAGAAAAUAAAAGAGAGAAAAGGGGAAAUAGGGUUUUUGAAGCUUGGAGUUUAAUUGUUAACAAAGAACCCAAGACAUCGGCGCACAAAGGAAAGGAGAAAGCUAUCGAGGAUUAAAACGAGAAAUUCACGGUUUGUAUUACUAUAAUUCAAAUUACUUUUUAUUAAAUGUUUUAUAUCAAUUCUAUAUUUAAUAAGUGAAUUAUAAGGUAAGUAUUGAUAUUUGAGUUGAAUGAGAAUUGAAUUGAAUGGUGAAUGUGUAUGUAUAAUUGAAUUGUAAAUUGAUUUGAAUGUGAAAAUUUUAAUUGAAAAGUAAUCUUGGAAUGGAAAUGAAA